rnacentral:rRNA from 1 species
CAAUAGCGUAUAUUAAAGUUGUUGCAGUUAAAACGCUCGUAGUCGGAUUUCGGGGCGUUCCCGCCGGUCUGCCGAUGGGUACGCACUGGCGGGCGCGUCCUUCCUUCCGGAGACUGGCCCUACUCUUAGCUGAGCGGGGUCGGGAGUCGGAUCGUUUACUUUGAAAAAAUCAGAGUGUUUCAAGCAGGCAGCUCGCUCUUGUAUGGAUUAGCAUGGGAUAAUGAAAUAGGACUUUGGUGCUAUUUUGUUGGUUUCGAACACCGAAGUAAUGAUUAACAGGGACAGUCAGGGGCACUCGUAUUCCGCCGAGAGAGGUGAAAUUCUCAGACCAGCGGAAGACGAACCACUGCGAAAGCAUUUGCCAGGGAUGUUUUCACUG